UCUUAAUUGGCAGAGUAAGUGCAUUAGAUUUAAGACCUAAAAAUUAACUUAAGAU
rnacentral:tRNA from 1 species